rnacentral:rRNA from 1 species
GAUGAACGCUAGCGGCAGGCCUAACACAUGCAAGUCGAGGGAUAAGCCUUCGGGCUGAAACCGGCGCACGGGUGCGUAACGCGUAUACAAUCUGCCUUUCACAUAGGGAUAGCCCGGAGAAAUUUGGAUUAAUACCUAAUGGUAUACAAGAGUGGCAUCAUUUUUAUAUUAAAGCUUUGGUGGUGAAAGAUGAGUAUGCGUUCUAUUAGCUAGUUGGAGAGGUAACGGCUCCCCAAGGCGACGAUAGAUAGGGGUUCUGAGAGGGAUGUCCCCCACACUGGUACUGAGAUACGGACCAGACUCCUACGGGAGGCAGCAGUGAGGAAUAGUGGACAAUGGUCGGAAGACUGAUCCAGCCAUGCCGCGUGCAGGACGACGGUCCUAUGGAUUGUAAACUGCUUUUGUAAGGGAAGAAUAAGGAGUACGUGUACUUUGAUGACGGUACCUUACGAAUAAGCAUCGGCUAACUCCGUG